GUGGGGAAUAUUGGACAAUGGGGGGAACCCUGAUCCAGCCAUGCCGCGUGUGUGAAGAAGGCCUUUUGGUUGUAAAGCACUUUAAGCGAGGAGGAGGCUACCGAGAUUAAUACUCUAGGAUAGUGGACGUUACUCGCAGAAUAAGCACCGGCUAACUCUGUGCCAGCAGCCGCGGUAAUACAGAGGGUGCAAGCGUUAAUCGGAUUUACUGGGCGUAAAGCGCGCGUAGGUGGCCAAUUAAGUCAAAUGUGAAAUCCCCGAGCUUAACUUGGGAAUUGCAUUCGAUACUGGUUGGCUAGAGUAUGGGAGAGGAUGGUAGAAUUCCAGGUGUAGCGGUGAAAUGCGUAGAGAUCUGGAGGAAUACCGAUGGCGAAGGCAGCCAUCUGGCCUAAUACUGACACUGAGGUGCGAAAGCAUGGGGAGCAAACAGGAUUAGAAACCCUAGUAGUCC
rnacentral:rRNA from 1 species